rnacentral:tRNA from 1 species
GCCUUUGUGAUGUAGCGGUAGCACGCUGGCGCGUAUUCGAGAGGUCCAGGUUCGAGUCCCGGCGAGGGCA